AGUUCCUUUAUCCAAAAGCUUUCCCGAACCUGUCGCUGGGCAUCACUCCAGUGAAUAUUCUGUUCAAUCACUAGAAUUUGCAUGCGGUUAAAGUCAUCAGGUUUGUGACCCGACUGUCUGAAGUGCUGAAAAACUGGUCAGGUUUGUGACCCGACUGUCUGAAGUGCUGAGAAACUGCCAGUUUCUCAGCACUUCAGACAGUCGGGUCACAAACCUGAUGACUUUAACCGCAUGAAAAUUCUAGUGAUUGAACAGAAUAUUCACUGGAGUGAUGCCCAGCGACAGGUUCGGGAAAGCUUUUGGAUAAAGGAACUU
rnacentral:sRNA from 1 species